CUGGGAUUGGUCAAGACUUAGCUAUUGUUGCAGGUGCAUACUCCUACCUAAGUUAAGUUUUCAAUCUUGUCUACCUAUUAAGCUAGGCUGCAGGUCAUCCACAAGGACUCAAAUACUGAAGUACGGAAUCCUUCUCAGGCCAUAUUUAGUUCGCUUUAACAGGACUGAGGUUUAAAAGAUGAGCAGAAUAAUAGGAAAUAAUAAAAGAAACAGAUGAUUAGCCAGAGGUUUGGGGAAACCACUGAAAGAAUGUGUUGUUGUGGAAGCCAAAGGAAAAAGUUACUUUAAGAAGGAGGCAGAUGUUCAUGUAAAGUAAGGUCUUCUGUGCAAAGUUGUGUCCACCCCCAAAGUCUGAAGUGGCUCCAUUCACAAACUUACAUGGAAUUUGGACUUGGCCAUCUUUCCUUUCAAGAAUAUAUGGUUCCUCAGAGAUAAACAAGACAACAGUAAACAGGACUUGUUUGGUGGUCGUAUGGUAAAUCUGAUGCUGUGCUAAAG
rnacentral:lncRNA from 10 species